GCCCAGCUAGCUCAGUUGGUAGAGCACUUCCAUGGUAAGGAAGGGGUCGUCGGUUCGAGUCCGACGCUGGGCU
rnacentral:tRNA from 1 species